rnacentral:rRNA from 1 species
AGACGGAGGUGGCAAACGUUGCUCGGAAUUACUGGGCGUAAAGGGCGCGUAGGCGGAUUAUCAAGUCAGAGGUGAAAGGCCUGGGCUCAACCUGGGAACUGCCUUUGAAACUGAUAGUCUUGAGUCCGGAAGAGGAUGGCGGAAUUCCCAGUGUAGAGGUGAAAUUCGUAGAUAUUGGGAAGAACACCAGUGGCGAAGGCGGCCAUCUGGUCCGGUACUGACGCUGAGGCGCGAAAGCGUGGGGAGCAAACAGGAUUAGAAACCCGAGUAGUCC